rnacentral:lncRNA from 1 species
UAUAUUUGAUAUAUAUGUGCAUCUUGUUCUAUAUAUGUAAAUGUGAAUCAUUGUAAGCUAUGAGUAUUGUUGUCUAAUGUGGGAUUUGCGACCAUAUAUUAAUGAUAGUGUACGUACCUGAUGCAGCUUGGAUGUAAAGUUUGAUGGUCAGAGGCAUCACUUGAUGUUACUUUUCCAAAUGUCAAUGUUUGACGUUCUGUAGUUUUCAUCGCACAGAAUGGCGGGAUACUAUUGUCGUAUAUAAUCAUAUAUUUAUUCAGAUAUGUGGGGCCGGGAACAAUGCAUUGUGUUCAAGAACAUUGUCAGUAUGUUAAAACUUUGCUUGAGCAAGCAGGAUCUGUAUAUCAUUGUGUUUUUGGUGCAACCAUUAGAGUCAUGAUAGUCUUCCUGGUGUUUUUUCCUUAAGGUUUGGACAUAUCUGAAUGCAAAGUGCUGCAUUUAUUUUUCCUUGACUUGUUGAUUCAUGUACUUGUCGCAAAUUGUCUAACAAUAAUUUAACAUGAUUAUAUAUAUUGCAAUUAUGAUGAUCCGACACAUAUUUGUUGUGAUGUGCCUGUCACGUUUGUAACUAUAUAUAUCUUGGAGACAGUUAAGUACUGGAAGCAACAAUAUAUAAGACCCAAUGCAAUUAGUGCUCACACGAGUCGCUCGCAGGUGGAAUUUAUGACUUUUUUUUAUUGCUCCACCAUAUAUAUAUAUAUCCCCAUGCAGAGCUCAAAUUAGAAGAUGGUCUCUAUAUGUAUAUGUAAGACAGGACGAUAUCACUAUUCACUAGAUAGAGGAGCUUCCAAUUUAGCACGGACUAGGAGUUGGAGGCAUUGGGAGAGUACUGGAUGAACUUCUGGAGUGUGAACUAUCAAUAGCAUCAAUCUCAACAUUGGGAGCGCAGUGGAUUGUUUCACUCUCUCUCAGAACUCAAGCAAUCAACACAGUAGCAAGCUGCAAAUAGUAUGCAUGCUUGACUGAGGUUCAUCGAAGCUUCUCAGGGAGAAGCCUGAGGAGUGGUCCCAUAUCUCAGUUUAGAGCUGGCUAGCAGGGUAGCACCACAGUGAGACACAGUAGCCGAGUAGGCGACAAAAAAGAGGAAGUAAUUGCUAAUGUAGUGCAUCCUAGCACUACAGUCAUGCAUAGCCUCAUCAUUCAGUGAGGAUCAAGCAGUUCUGAACUGGCAUGCACUUCUCUAGUCUUUCCUAAGAAAAGUAUAGGAAUUCUGUUUUCAACUGCAUGUAUAGGAAGUGGAUCACACAAAAUCUUUUGAUAAGAUUCAACCAAUAGAAUCAAGGGUUUACCUCUAUUUGC